AAAAGUAUAGGUUUUGAAAACCUUCAAAUAUUUUAAGAAAUUUUAUUUUCUUUCUAAAUAAAAAAAUAAUUAAAAUUUAAAAUUAUAAAAAAAAAUUAUAUUAUAAAACUAUAUCUUAAAAAAUCUUAUUUUACUCAGGCUAUGCAUUUCCCUCGAGAGAGUUGAUUUAUAUUCAAUCUUGGAGGCAUUGUUUGGCUCAAUUCUUUUAUGCUCCUGGAAAUACUCAAGGCUCUUGGUAGUGGGUCUGGAGGAAGAAUUCAUAUUAGGUCCCUGAACAUUUGUUCUCUAGAUUGUCUACACGGAUGCGUCAUGCAAAACUUCUCGUGCUUCGGCUUGUUCCAUUCUCUGUCCUCCUUUAAGCUUUAGCUAUCAAUGGCACAAAUGUUGAAGAUUGCUCUCACAAAAGGAAUACGAUAAUGGGUUUGAAGACUUCUAAUGUCAAAGAAACACAGAUGAAGAUAAAGGAAAUCCCACAUCAUACAUGCAACAGAUUUAGCCAUCAUAGAGAGUAUAAAGGAGAAACCAUGCUUUGAAGGAAGAAGAAGAAGAUUUAGGGUUAGGGAAUUAUAGAAAAAUAUUUUCUUCCAACUCCUAUAAAAAUAAAUCAUCUAUAAAUUACUAACCUUUCAACGUAUUUAUUAAAGAGCAACCAAGUGGAACACAUGUCUCACCAAGACACGUGACACUUGGACGAGAGAAGAGACUAUUGUCUCCGAACUUUGUACACCUCCUAUUAAGGAUUUGUUUGGUUUGAAGAAAUUUAGUCAAGGUUUGAAGAAACUUAGCUUAGAAAUUUUUUGAAAGUGUUUACCAACAUUUUGAAAAAUUUAAUUACUUCAUUAUAGAGAAAAUUCAUUAGUAUUACCCUAGAAUUUUAAAUAAAAAUUUCUUUAGCUUUU